rnacentral:rRNA from 1 species
CCUACGGGAGGCAGCAGGGGGGGAUAUUGCACAAUGGGGGAAACCCUGAUGCAGCGACGCCGCGGGGGUGAAGAAGGGCCUCGGCGCGUAAAGCCCUGUCAGCAGGGAAGAAAAUGACGGUACCUGAAGAAGAAGCCCCGGCUAACCACGUGCCAGCAGCCGCGGUAAUACGUAGGGGGCAAGCGUUAUCCGGAUUUACUGGGUGUAAAGGGGGCGCAGACGGCGCUGCAAGCCAGGAGUGAAAGCCCGGGGCCCAACCCCGGGACUGCUCUUGGAACUGGGUGGCUAGAGUGCAGGAGGGGCAGGCGGAAUUCGUGGUGUAGCGGUGAAAUGCUUAGAUAUCACGAAGAACUCCGAUUGCGAAGGCAGCUCACUGGACUGCAACUGACACUGAGGCUCGAAAGUGUGGGUAUCAAACAGGAUUAGAUACCCGUGUAGUC